GACUCCUCCUCUUCCUGUGUGGAACCUGGAAUUCAAACGGCUGGGUGGGAAGCAGGCUAGCAGGGGCCUCUGGCCUUGCUGAGGGUCCCUGUUUCCCGCUUUCCUUCCUUUUCACCCAGUAAAACCCUGCUUUACUCACCCUUCAAACCAUCUAUGAGCCUAAAUUGUCAUGGUCGUGGAACGGACAAGGACCCAGUCUUCAGCUGAACUAAGGGAAAGUCCCGCUUUUUGGCGCGCAACAGGGGAGCUCAAGAAACAGGCCUCACUCACGACAAAGGGAAGUAACCACGCCCCUAAGAAGGCACACCUUUGUUGCAGUUAGUACACAAUUAAAGCAACUCUCCAAGUUUUACCUUAAAGUUCAAAAUUGCUAGGGGUUGAAACUACUAGAAAUGUCUUUACAUGCAAGCCUUUAAUAAUUAAGUAAGGUAUACUCCUGUGAUCAAGACUUUGAGCAUAUUUGUUUCUCUCUGCCUGGUUCCUCUAGAAAUUGGAAACUAUCAGAACACAGACAAACUCCAUUUCCCAAUCCCUUUGCAAUCUGCAUUGAACCAUGAAUCAAGUUCUUGAUAAAGGAGUGAAAAUGGAUGACAUUUAAGGCACAUCUGAAGAUGGGGAAACCACAGCACAGAAAAAGGCUGGGCCCUUGAAUCAAUAAAUGAGGGAGAACUACUCAAGAGAACAAAACCACCAGCAAUAUCCACCUGUAUUUGUCUUUUCAUA
rnacentral:lncRNA from 1 species